rnacentral:rRNA from 1 species
GGUUAAGCGAAUAAGCGUACACGGUGGAUGCCUAGGCAAUCAGAGGCGAUGAAGGACGUGCUAAUCUGCGAAAAGCGUCGGUAAGGUGAUAUGAACCGUUAUACCCGACGAUAUCCGAAUGGGGAAACCCAGUAUCCAAUGGAUACUAUCAUUAACUGAAUCCAUAGGUUAAUGAGGCGAACCGGGAGAACUGAAACAUCUCAGUACCCCGAGGAAAAGAAAUCAACCGAGAUUCCCCUAGUAGCGGCGAGCGAACGGGGAGCAGCCCAGAGUCUUAAUCAAUAGCAGUGUCAGGAGAACGGUCUGGAAAGUCCGGCAGUAAAGGGUGAUAGCCCCGUAUCUGAAGAUGCUGUUAUUGUGAACUCGACGAGUAGGGCGGGACACGUGUUAUCCUGUCUGAAUAUGGGGGGACCAUCCUCCAAGGCUAAAUACUCCUGAUUGACCGAUAGUGAACCAGUACCGUGAGGGAAAGGCGAAAAGAACCCCGGCGAGGGGAGUGAAAAAGAACCUGAAACCGUGUACGUACAAGCAGUAGGAGCCUCUUUAUGGGGUGACUGCGUACCUUUUGUAUAAUGGGUCAGCGACUUAUAUUCUGUAGCGAGGUUAACCGUAUAGGGGAGCCGUAGGGAAACCGAGUCUUAACUGGGCGAAUGAGUUGCAGGGUAUAGACCCGAAACCCGGUGAUCUAUCCAUGGGCAGGUUGAAGGUUGGGUAACACUAACUGGAGGACCGAACCGACUAAUGUUGAAAAAUUAGCGGAUGACUUGUGGAUGGGGGUGAAAGGCCAAUCAAACCGGGAGAUAGCUGGUUCUCCCCGAAAGCUAUUUAGGUAGCGCCUCGUGAACUCAUCUUCGGGGGUAGAGCACUGUUUCGACUAGGGGGUCAUCCCGACUUACCAACUCGAUGCAAACUGCGAAUACCGAAGAAUGUUAUCACGGGAGACACACGGCGGGUGCUAACGUCCGUCGUGAAGAGGGAAACAACCCAGACCGCCAGCUAAGGUCCCAAAGUCAUGGUUAAGUGGGAAACGAAGUGGGAAGGCUCAGACAGCCAGGAUGUUGGCUUAGAAGCAGCCAUCAUUUAAAGAAAGCGUAAUAGCUCACUGGUCGAGUCGGCCCGCGCGGAAGAUGUAACGGGGCUAAACCAUGCACCGAAGCUGCGGCAGCGACACAAAGUGUUGUUGGGUAGGGGAGCGUUCUGUAAGCCUGCGAAGGUGUACUGUGAGGUAUGCUGGAGGUAUCAGAAGUGCGAAUGCUGACAUAAGUAACGAUAAUGCGGGUGAAAAACCCGCACGCCGGAAGACCAAGGGUUCCUGUCCAACGUUAAUCGGGGCAGGGUGAGUCGACCCCUAAGGCGAGGCUGAAAAGCGUAGUCGAUGGGAAACGGGUUAAUAUUCCCGUACUGGUGGUAACUGCGAUGGGGGAACGGAGAAGGCUAGGUUGUCCGGGCGACGGUCGUCCCGGUUCAAGCAGGUAGGCAGAGUGAUUAGGCAAAUCCGGUCACUUAAUGCUGAGAUGUGAUGACGAACCACUAAGGUGGUGAAGCAAUUGAUGCCCCGCUUCCAGGAAAAGCCUCUAAGCUUCAGGUUACCAACAAUCGUACCCCAAACCGACACAGGUGGUCAGGUAGAGAAUACUCAGGCGCUUGAGAGAACUCGGGUGAAGGAACUAGGCAAAAUGGUGCCGUAACUUCGGGAGAAGGCACGCUGGCGGUAGGUAAAGUCCCUCGCGGACGGCGCUGAAGCCAGUCGAAGAUACCAGCUGGCUGCAACUGUUUAUUAAAAACACAGCACUGUGCAAACACGAAAGUGGACGUAUACGGUGUGACGCCUGCCCGGUGCUGGAAGGUUAAUUGAUGGGGUUAGCGUAAGCGAAGCUCCUGAUCGAAGCCCCAGUAAACGGCGGCCGUAACUAUAACGGUCCUAAGGUAGCGAAAUUCCUUGUCGGGUAAGUUCCGACCUGCACGAAUGGCGUAAUGAUGGCCAGGCUGUCUCCACCCGAGACUCAGUGAAAUUGAACUCGCUGUGAAGAUGCAGUGUACCCGCGGCAAGACGGAAAGACCCCGUGAACCUUUACUAUAGCUUGACACUGAACAUUGAGCCUUGAUGUGUAGGAUAGGUGGGAGGCUUUGAAGUGUGGACGCCAGUCUGCAUGGAGCCAACCUUGAAAUACCACCCUUUAACGUUUGAUGUUCUAACCUAGGCCCAUAAACUGGGUCGGGGACCGUGUCUGGUGGGUAGUUUGACUGGGGCGGUCUCCUCCUAAAGAGUAACGGAGGAGCACGAAGGUUGGCUAAGCAUGGUCGGACAUCAUGCGGUUAGUGCAAAGGCAUAAGCCAGCUUGACUGCGAGAGUGACGGCUCGAGCAGGUACGAAAGUAGGUCUUAGUGAUCCGGUGGUUCUGAAUGGAAGGGCCAUCGCUCAACGGAUAAAAGGUACUCCGGGGAUAACAGGCUGAUACCGCCCAAGAGUUCAUAUCGACGGCGGUGUUUGGCACCUCGAUGUCGGCUCAUCACAUCCUGGGGCUGAAGUAGGUCCCAAGGGUAUGGCUGUUCGCCAUUUAAAGUGGUACGCGAGCUGGGUUUAGAACGUCGUGAGACAGUUCGGUCCCUAUCUGCCGUGGGCGUUGGAAGAUUGAGAGGGGUUGCUCCUAGUACGAGAGGACCGGAGUGAACGCACCACUGGUGUUCGGGUUGUCAUGCCAAUGGCAUUGCCCGGUAGCUAAGUGCGGAAGAGAUAACCGCUGAAAGCAUCUAAGCGGGAAACUUGCCUCGAGAUGAGUCUUCCCUGUCGCUUUAAGCGACCUAAAGGAACGUUUAAGACUAAGACGUUGAUAGGCUGGGUGUGUAAGCGUAGCGAUACGUUGAGCUAACCAGUACUAAUGAACCGUGAGGCUUAACCUG